AUGUAAAUGGGCAGGAUCAAUUCCUGCCAACAAAAACCCUGCUUCAUGGAAGAAGGCCAUGCUCCAUGGCAUAGAUAUGAACUUGUUAUGAUAUUUCUGAAGAAGAAGAGACUGUAAGGAAGACCUCUCCUAACUUAGCAACCAUUCUCCAUUUUCCAAAAGGGUAAACCAAGGCACAGAAAGAUAGGCACAAGGUAACUUAUGCAUGCAGAAGGUAACAAACACUCGUGCACACACACUGAAAAUCAGAAAGAGAGAGAGAGAGAGAGUUGCCAUAAUUAGUACUUUUGUUUAGAGAAGAAAGGCUGAAGCCUGGAGAAGUUAAGCAACAUGCUUAAAUCCACACAGCUAGUCAGAGGCAAAGCCAAGAUUUGAACGUGGGUAGUCUGAAUCCAGGAUCUUGGCCUUCACCCCUCUAUAACAUGACACCCUCAUCCCUGAAAAAAGAAAAAGUCAACCGAAAGCAUUGUGAAAAGUGUCCUCUAAUAAAAUGGCUAAUUCUGGCAACAGG
rnacentral:lncRNA from 1 species